AUGCAGAAAAUUGCAUGUCAACCUUUUCAAUGGAAUGUUUUGACAGUAAUCAAGUGUUUAUAAUCAAUGCUUGUCAGCUAGAGUUUUAUAAUGCAAAAGCAAGAAGAUAAAUAGUAUCACUGAAAGAGGACAAUGAUUAAUACAACUACUGUGCUUGGUCACGAGUUAGGGUGUUUGGAGCUAUGGUCGUGAGAAUGCACGAUAUGUUCCACUUUAGAGAAUGAAAGGAGUUGAAGAAAAUGCUGAACAAAACAGUGGAGAGGGCACAGACAGAGUUCCCACUCCAUCCCACUACCUUUCCUUCCCCCAUCAAAACAGUGAAUAAGGACCCAACAUAGAAUCUACUGCAAUUGCACUUUCAUAUGCUACAAAGGCAAAAUGCUGCAGUUUUCUUUUUUUAAGAAUAAUUUCAGAUUUCCCUUCAGGUUUUCAGCUUUCUUAUUAUUCAAUUGUGAUAUUGAAAAUUAAUUGAGAAUUGGCGCUGCAGAUGCCCUUCAAAUUUUCCGAACAUCAUCGUACAGAGUUAUAAGUAGAUGAAAAUUGGAAGAUAGAAGAAUUAAAGGUGAGAAUGGGUGAGAAGAAUUAAAGGUGAGAAUGGGUGGGGUUAGUCAGGUAGCUAAAGGGCAUCUGGUGGCAACAAUUAUAACUUGUUAUUUUCAUAAUUAUUAUGCUACUAAUCCUAAACACUUCCAGUGAAUAGAAUUUUUAUAGGAUAUAUCAUUUAUUUGAAUAAAUAAAUGCAUCGUGACUCCCUAAUCUUCAUAUUUUUGUGCUGCAUCAAAAGGCCACUUUUGUUAAUUAUAUAUCCAAAUGAAAAGAUCACUCGGAAGAAAAUAAAAAUAAAAAUAAAAGAAGAAUUUAUUGUAAUCAUCUGUAAAUCAAUUACAAACAGUAUCACCUAAAAAAUAAAAUACAUCCUAACAAUUGAAAAAUUUAUAGAUUCAAGAAUAGAACAUAAAAUCACAAGUAAAAGAGACCAAAACAAUAUAGAUCCAUACAAUUUCAAUAAAUAUUCAACCUAAUUAUAAAAGAAAAUUCUUGAAAAUUAUGGAAUUGGGAUUUAUUAUGUCUACCAAAAGCUAAAAAACUUCAAUCAAUCAAAUGACUACUAUAUUAAUUUCUCGAUCCAGAAAAUCACAUCAAAUUUCAUCAUUAAACAGGCGCGGCGACCACGACAGGAGCUGCGGCAGCAGCGGCAUUGGAAGCAGCACCACCUAUGAAUGACAGAAAUCCAGUAGUUGCAGGCUCUUGCUCAUCCAAGAAAAGAUCCUCAGGGACCCUAAACGAACCAUGAGCGAAAACAAUGGCUAAUCCUACCAAAAGAGCCGAGAUAAGCAAAGAUCCAACGCUAGUGAGGAAAACCACGACCACGCUAAACACAAUGAGCAACCCGAGGGUCUCAAAAUCCGUAAAGGUACGGCCGAAGAGGACCAAAGGCCGAUCGGAAGGACGGAAGAAAUAGAGAAACAGCCAGGAGGCGAGGAGUCCAAGGAGGAGGAAGAGCGACAAGGGAUUUGAAAGCAAAGAGAAAGCCAAGAUGAGGACGAUAAUGGUUAAGUAAUUGACGCGAAAGUAGGUAUAAUUCUUGCGGACACGGAGGGCAGCCUCAGAGAGGGAUUCAGGUUUGGAGAAGCUGUUGCGGUCAACGAGUUCAGCCCAGGGGCGACGCUGGGAGAGGCCGUAGCGGACAUACUCAGAGAUGUUGUUGAUGAAGGCGCGGAAGGCAGGAGUAGCGAUCGGAGGCUGCGAUUGGGCUGAAGCAGCGGUGGAUCCGGUGGCGGUGGUGGUAGUUUGGGGAUUGGAGAUGGGGAGUGUCGGAGGAGUUGGGGUGACCAUAUUUUGGUGACAGCCGUAUAUUUUGUGAUGAGAGAAAUGCGAUAUAAAAAAAAAAAUUUCUCCAAAGCGAUAAAGGAUUAAGGAAUAGAGAAUGUAGCAACAGGUGUUGGGCUAAAUUUAGAGAAGAUGGAUUUUAUUUUAUUAUUUUUUUUUUAAGGUGGAGAGAAGAGCGUUUCACCGUUUGUUAUGGAUCUUGUUCAUUUGUUCCCUUUUUCCUGCUUGUUGUGGUGUUGUUUAUGCAGACAAAAGAUUCAGUGGUGCAUCUUGUAAGGAGCCGCAGCUAUGGUGGAUUGCGGGUGCAUAUUAGAGGACAGGCCCGAAUGGCAUGAAUGGACACCAAAAAACGUCAUUGCUGUUAUUUUUUCCUCUGUUCUUAAUAGUUUUUCUAUAAUUACUGGGGUUCUUACUUUUGGCCUUGGUUGGACGUUUGAAGGCCUCGAGACGUGUCUAAAAGAGACGUGUAGAGCGAAGCACGGUCACCAUUUUUCGCUUUGAGGAGGUCUUUUUUUGAGCGUUGCAAGUUGUCUCACAGGAGAUAG
rnacentral:misc_RNA from 1 species